rnacentral:lncRNA from 1 species
ACUAGUAGAAGAUUUUUAGGUACAGUCAAAUAUUUGCAAAGUCGGUGUGUGAGUCAAAAUAGAUUUGACCCCUUCGAAUAAGUAGGAGUUAAUGCAUUGGUGUAUUUCAAUUUAGUAAACCUUAACCAAGGUAAUUCGUAUGAUGGAUUUGAAAGGUUGAAAUAUAAUAUGGUUGAUAAAUCUAAAUUUGACAGUUAAACUCC